UACGGGGGGAGCAAGCGUUGUUCGGAUUUACUGGGCGUAAAGGGCGCGUAGGCGGUCAGCACAAGUCAGUUGUGAAAUCUCCGGGCUUAACUCGGAAAGGUCAACUGAUACUGUGCGACUAGAGUGCAGAAGGGGCAACUGGAAUUCUCGGUGUAGCGGUGAAAUGCGUAGAUAUCGAGAGGAACACCUGCGGCGAAGGCGGCGACCUGGGUGGAUACUGACGCUGAGGUGCGAAAGCGUGGGGAGCAAACAGG
rnacentral:rRNA from 1 species